UACGUAGGGUGCAAGCGUUGUCCGGAAUUAUUGGGCGUAAAGGGCUCGUAGGCGGUUUGUCGCGUCGGGAGUGAAAACCUCGGGCUUAACUCGGGGCUUGCUUUCGAUACGGGCAGACUAGAGGUAUGCAGGGGAGAACGGAAUUCCUGGUGUAGCGGUGAAAUGCGCAGAUAUCAGGAGGAACACCGGUGGCGAAGGCGGUUCUCUGGGCAUGAUCUGACGCUGAGGAGCGAAAGUGUGGGGAGCGAACAGG
rnacentral:rRNA from 1 species